AACGAACGCUGGCGGCAUGCCUAACACAUGCAAGUCGAACGAGAUCUUCGGGUCUAGUGGCGCACGGGUGCGUAACGCGUGGGAAUCUGCCCUUUGGUUCGGAAUAACAGUUGGAAACGACUGCUAAUACCGGAUGAUGACGAAUGUCCAAAGAUUUAUCGCCAGAGGAUGAGCCCGCGUAGGAUUAGCUAGUUGGUGUGGUAAAGGCGCACCAAGGCGACGGUCCUUAGCUGGUCUGAGUGGAUGAUCAGCCACACUGGGACCGAGACACGGCCCAGACUCCUACGGGAGGCAGCAGUGGGGAAUAUUGGACAAUGGGCGAAAGCCUGAUCCAGCAAUGCCGCGUGAGUGAUGAAGGCCUUAGGGUUGUAAAGCUCUUUUACCCGGGAUGAUAAUGACAGUACCGGGAGAAUAAGCUCCGGCUAACUCCGUGCCAGCCGCCGCCGUAAAAC
rnacentral:rRNA from 1 species